rnacentral:rRNA from 1 species
UACGGGGGGGGCAAGCGUUGUUCGGAAUUACUGGGCGUAAAGGGCUCGUAGGCGGCCACCGCAAGUCGACUGUGAAAUCUCCGGGCUUAACCCGGAAAGGUCAGCCGAUACUGCGGGGCUAGAGUGCAGAAGGGGCAACUGGAAUUCUCGGUGUAGCGGUGAAAUGCGUAGAUAUCGAGAGGAACACCUGCGGCGAAGGCGGGUUGCUGGGCUGACACUGACGCUGAGGCGCGAAAGCUAGGGGAGCGAACGGG